rnacentral:rRNA from 1 species
AAUAGCCUAACGGCUGAACCAGCAACUUGGAGGAAUGUAAGGCAAUAGCCUAAUGCAUUAUUUUAAUGUUUAAUCGACCAUGUCGAAUAAAAUUCUAGGUAGAGUUUUGACAAUGACAUUCUCUAUCUAUGUGUCUUGACCAAAUUACGUGCCAGCAGUCGCGGUAAUACGUAAAAGACUAGUGUUAUUCAUCUUUAAUAGGUUUAAAGAGUCCAAGACGGUUAAUAAAGCCCCUAUAGGGUACAAAUUAACUAGAGUUAUAUGAAAGGGAGCUCUUAGGUACUGUUGAGUGUAGAGAUGAAAUUCUGUGAUACCAGAUGAUUGGCACGGGUCUAUGCGAAGGCAUCUCCUUAUGUAAUAACUGACGUUGUAGGACGAAGGCUUUUGAAGUGAACAGGAUUCGAUCCCCAGUAAUCUAGCAGAAAAUGAUGAGUGUCAUAGGUUAAAUAUAAUUUAGUCUAUAAAUGAAAGUGUAAGCAUUCACCUCAAGAGUAAUUUGGCAACAUUGGAACUGAAAUCAUUAGACCGUUUCUGAAACCAGUAGUGAAGUAUGUUGUUUAAUUUGAUGAUCCGCAAAAAACCUUACCACAAUUAUUAUCUUGAAUAAAUAUUUUUUUAAUAUUUACAAGCGUUGCACGGCUGUCUUCAGUUAAUGUCGUGAGAUUUUGGUUAGUUCCAUUAAAUUAACGAAAACCCUUACUUUAUUUUGAUAUAAAGUUGUUCACCGUUAUAUUGGAUAUGAUAAUAGGGACCA